rnacentral:misc_RNA from 1 species
AAGUCGUAACAAGGUUUCCGUAGGUGAACCUGCGGAAGGAUCAUUAUCAAAAGUCAGUCGGGAGCCCUAGUGGCUGCCGUCUACACCCAAGUCUUUUGUGUACUCAUUGUUUCCUCGGCGGCGUAAGUCGCCGAAUGGACAAACUAAAACCUUUUUGUAAUUGCAAUCAGCGUCAUUAAAUAUAAUAAUAUUUACAACUUUCAACAACGGAUCUCUUGGCUCUC